CAACUGCUUAUUUACUCAAUAUAGCAUUACUCUGUAAUUCCACUAACACAUACCAUUCCUUGUGUAAGGAAAAGGGCAACAUCUACUCUUGUAAAACCACAAAAUUAGCUGUUUGUUAUCAGGAGAAAAGGCCAAUUCUUAUAGCUCAAAUAGCUUUUCGCCACAGUUCUGUAAUUUGAGUCACAAUGGGUGAAAUGUUUUUGUUAAGGUAAAGAUUUCUGGAUAAGGAUACUCCUGCACAUUCAGUUGCAGCAGACCAGUGAGGCACAUACACAGAUUGCAUAAAAGGGAAAAAAUGACAGGUUAUCAAAACUGUUUGGUCAAAGGCUUAUCAAGGCUUAUCUAGUUUGGAAGACAGGUGAGACUGCAAGUUGCAGUGGAUUUGUUUUCAAAAACAAUGUAGGACUGAUGCUGUUUCUGAAUUAAAUCAAUCUUAGGCUACUGAUAAAGAAAAAAAAAGUCAAGAGCUGCUUUGCAGAACUUCCUACUCCAAAACUUACAGUAGACAGUUUUGUAGCAAGUGUUGUAAAUAUUACCAGAAUUCAUUUUGUUGCAGCAUUUAUCUCUUGCGGACCCCCAAGGGUUCGAAACCGGAAUCUAGUCCGUUCGCUGGCCGAGCCGCGUGGGGAGUGAUGACAUGACCCAAUAUGAGUGCAUCAGAGUCUCCAUUUAUUAUUCGUUACUUACACACAUAUAUAGAUCGUGGCGAAUGCGCAUCAGCGUGUAAUUGGUUGAAGCAUAGUGAAAAGCCCCCUGCCUAAGAAUACUAUUGGUCGUGCAUGUUUUCGUACCAUUCCACUGUCUUAAUCUCUUCCCAGGUGAGCUACCCCCUUAUCUUAACUGAAGCCUCAGUUUGUCUUCCUGCUUUGACAGCUUCAAGCUCUCAUAGCCUGGGUUGUGCACAUAGCACCUGAGCUCACAGCCAUUAUAACGAGCUAGUACUUUUCCAUCUGUAUCUCCUGCCAAUUGUUAGGCCUGUUCUGCUUGUACAACUGUUCAAGAGACCCAUGACCCCCUCAGCUGUGGAGCCAUCCCUCAACAGGGAGACGCCUGUCCCAUACAUCACGUAUCCCCGUCAAACACCUACUACAACAGGGAGCCACUGGUCAGGGGGCAGCCCCACUGGCCUAUCCUGCAUUUUUUUUUUUUUGUUUUUGUUUUUUGAGUUACAACUGGUGGGAUCUCAAAGGUAUCUAGCUCUAGUGGAGCCUCAAGAUCUGACUUUUUAGUGCUUUCAUUUACUGAGUCCAGUUCAUGUGGAUUCUCUUGUACAGGGUCCCCAGUAUUUUCUAGAAAGAUAUUUUGGAUUUUUUGUACAGGAAUGAUAGGAUUAGGUUUUUUCCCUCUAAAAAUUGCGACCUGUCCUUUCCAGUUCUUCCACACGGUCAUGUAAUAGUUGAUUUUCAUCAGUGAGAGCUGGUUCAGUUAUAUUUAGCCGGUUCAAGGCCAUCAGCAGCAGCCACACCACCGUGGAGGCAGCUAACUGUCAUUCUUGUGUAGUGAGUACAUUUUUGUUUAGACUACUGAAAUACUCAGACAGAUGGGCCGGGACUCCUGAACAUAUCCUCCAUCCCGUAGGGGACCCCAUUUUUCAACAAUACAAGCAAUCCCGUGAU
ensembl:lncRNA